UGUGACUGUACAGAGCCAGUUCGCGUCCCUCAUGGAAACCUGGACCAAAACCGCUGUGGAGAAAAUCCUGACCAUUUUUCAAGUGUCUGUUUGCGAAGCUAAUGGAGAAUCUGCAGAGAAGAAGAGGGGCGUGAAGCUGAAAGACGCAACCGAGACCAAAAAGAAAUCGCCUGCCAAAACCAAAGAGACACCGAACAUCAAGAAAAUACAUGAACCAGGAGCAACAGGAAGAGAAGGUGACAGACAAGAAGAAGAGGAGUGUGAAGCUAAAAGACACAACAGAGAACAAAGAGAAAUCGACCACCAAAACCAAAGAGACACAGAACAUCAAGAAAAUACAUGAAACAGAAG
rnacentral:lncRNA from 1 species